rnacentral:rRNA from 1 species
GACGAACGCUGGCGGCGUGCUUAACACAUGCAAGUCGAACGGAAAGGCCCUGCUUUUGUGGGGUGCUCGAGUGGCGAACGGGUGAGUAACACGUGAGUAACCUGCCCUUGACUUUGGGAUAACUUCAGGAAACUGGAGCUAAUACCGUAUAGGAGCUCCUGCUGCAUUGUGGGGGUUGGAAAGUUUCGGCGGUUGGGGAUGGACUCGCGGCUUAUCAGCUUGUUGGUGGGGUAGUGGCUUACCAAGGCUUUGACGGGUAGCCGGCCUGAGAGGGUGACCGGCCACAUUGGGACUGCGAGACGGCCCAGACUGCUACGGGAGGCAGCAGUGGGGAAUAUUGCACAAUGGGCGGAAGCCUGAUGCAGCAACGCCGCGUGCGGGAUGACGGCCUUCGGGUUGUAAACCGCUUUCGCCUGUGACGAAGCGUGAGUGACGGUAAUGGGUAAAGAAGCACCGGCUAACUACGUG